GGGGCUGUAGCUCAGCUGGGAGAGCGCUUGAAUGGCAUUCAAGAGGUCAGGGGUUCGACUCCCCUCAGCUCCACCA
rnacentral:tRNA from 2 species